rnacentral:rRNA from 1 species
AACGCUAGCUACAGGCUUAACACAUGCAAGUCGAGGGGCAGCAUAAAAGUAGCAAUACUUUGGUGGCGACCGGCGCACGGGCGAGUAACGCGUAUGCAACCUACCUAUCAGAGGGGGAUAACCCGGCGAAAGUCGGACUAAUACCGCAUAAAACAGGGGCACCGCAUGGUGCUAUUUGUUAAAAAUUUAUUGCUGAUAGAUGGGCAUGCGUUCCAUUAGGUAGUUGGAGAGGUAACGGCUCACCAAGCCUACGAUGGAUAGGGGAACUGAGAGGUUGGUCCCCCACACUGGUACUGAGACACGGACCAGACUCCUACGGGAGGCAGCAGUGAGGAAUAUUGGUCAAUGGGCGAGAGCCUGAACCAGCCAAGUCGCGUGAAGGAAGAAGGAUCUAUGGUUCGUAAACUUCUUUUGCAGGGGAAUAAAGUGCAGGACGUGUCCUGUUUUGUAUGUACCCUGAGAAUAAGGAUCGGCUAACUCCGUGCCAGCAGCCGCGGUAAUACGGAGGAUCCGAGCGUUAUCCGGAUUUAUUGGGUUUAAAGGGUGCGUAGGUGGUUUAAUAAGUCAGCGGUGAAAGUUUGCAGCUUAACUGUAAAAAUGCCGUUGAAACUGUCAGACUUGAGUGUAAAUGAGGUAGGCGGAAUGCGUGGUGUAGCGGUGAAAUGCUUAGAUAUCACGAAGAACUCCGAUUG